GGUUAAAGGUGCUGAUUCUCCAAGAAGGGAGAUUGCUAGUAAAGCGGCUGGAAUGGCGAACCCGAGCACAAGGAGAUGAGAAAUGAGGACAAAUUGCAACCUGUACGGAACAGGAGGUUAAAGGUGCUGAUUCUCCAAGGAGGGAGAUUGCUAGUAAAGCGGCUGGAAUGGCGAACCCGAGCACAAGGAGAUGAGAAAUGAGGACAAAUUGCAACCUGUACGGAACAGGAGGUUAAAGGUGCUGAUUCUCCAAGGAGGGAGAUUGCUAGUAAAGUGGCUGGAAUGGCGACCCCGAGCACAAGGAGAUGAGAAAUGAGG